rnacentral:rRNA from 1 species
AGCAGCCGCGGUAAUUCCAGCUCCAAUAGCGUAUAUUAAAGUUGUUGCAGUUAAAAAGCUCGUAGUUGAAUUUCGGGAUCAAUGUGUUGGUCGUGCCUUGGUACGUACUGGCAUUAUCGAUUCCUACCUUCUGAAGAACCUCGAUGUCAUUAAUUUGGUGUCUUGGGGAAUCAGGACUGUUACUUUGAAAAAAUUAGAGUGUUUAAAGCAGGCUCGCGCUUGAUACAUUAGCAUGGAAUAAUGAAAUAGGACGUUUGAUUCUAUUUUUGUUGGUUUCUAGGAUCGACGUAAUGAUUAAUAGGGAUAGUUGGGGGCAUUAGUAUUCAAUUGUCAGAGGUGAAUUCUUGGAUUUAUUGAAGACUAAACUACUG